UCCAGCAGUUGUCAGCUAUCCAGACUACUGUGGUGCCUGUGAUUGUGUUACACUGUUGGAAGAACAAACGCUGUUUUGAGGUUUGCUCCAUACACUGUUUUGGUGUUGGGGCAAAGUGCCUUUGGACAGUGUUUUGCACCUCUGAGAGUGGAAUGACUUCUCCUAUGGAGUUGAUCCUAGUCUGGGUGCAAACAGA
ensembl:snoRNA SNORA74 Small nucleolar RNA SNORA74